rnacentral:rRNA from 1 species
CAGUAGCCACGGUAAUACGUAGGGUGCGAGCGUUAAUCGGAAUUACUGGGCGUAAAGCGUGCGCAGGCGGUUAUGUAAGACAGUUGUGAAAUCCCCGGGCUCAACCUGGGAACUGCAUCUGUGACUGCAUAGCUAGAGUACGGUAGAGGGGGAUGGAAUUCCGCGUGUAGCAGUGAAAUGCGUAGAUAUGCGGAGGAACACCGAUGGCGAAGGCAAUCCCCUGGACCUGUACUGACGCUCAUGCACGGAAGCGUGGGGAGCAAACAGGAUUAGAUACCCCAGUAGUCCCUGUCUCUUAUCC